CUCUUGGUCAAAUGGCACAGCCUGACCUCUAGCCUGGUCCCAUCAGGUCUGGCAUCUGUGCCAGCAGCUGCAUCUGUAGCCAGGAGCUACAGGGUGGAGGAGCCCGAGACAUUAGUGGAACUUCAAAGGAAUGAGUGGGAUCCAAUCAUCAAAUGGGCUGAGAAAAGAUACGGCGUGGAGAUCAGCUCCUCCACCAGCAUAAUGGGACCCAGCAUCCCUGCCAAGACUCGGGAGGUGCUCGUCAGCCACCUGGCAUCUUACAACACAUGGGCUUUACAAGGUCCUGUGAGUGGAGAGGCAUGGGGUGUUCUGGGCUAGCUGAGUGUGGAGGCUGGGUGGCUCUGAUGCUAGCCAGUCACUACGCUCUAGGCUCAUGCCUUUCUACCUUUGACUUCUCCAGCAGAAGUCUUGAGUUCAAUCUCAUUGCCCUGGCUUGGGUCACAUGUCUAUCCAUGAACCAAUCACUAGACUGGGUGGGGAAAGCUCUGAUUUGCCAAGUUCAGGUCAUGUGUCUCACUGGGGAUUGAGUUUGUAGCUGCCCAGCUCAAGUCCAUGGUGCUGACCUUGGGCCUGAUUGACCUGCGCCUGACAGUGGAGCAGGCCGUGCUGCUGUCACGCCUGGAGGAGGAGUACCAGAUCCAGAAGUGGGGCAACAUUGAGUGGGCCCAUGACUAU
rnacentral:sRNA from 1 species